GUGCACCUUUUGGCAGCACAUUUACUAAAACUGGAACAAUACAGAGAAAGUUAGCAUGGACGUGUGCAAGGAUCAUGUGCAAAAUCGUGAAGCAAUCCCCCCUCCC